rnacentral:lncRNA from 10 species
UGUAAAACAGAGCCAGUAGUACCCAUCUUUUGGUGUGAAGAAUGAGAAGUGAAGGUGGAAGGGCUUGGUGCUCUGAAAAGCCUGGUGCCUUGUGGCCCUGGCAGAGUAUGUGAUUGGUGGGGCAGUGACAAAAACAGAAAGUGCUUUGGAAUCCUGGGGCCUGCCAGGAAUGUGGGCAAACCUGUUCCAUCCACUGCUGCCCCAAGCUCCAGACUCUCCCAUCUUCUCCCCCAAUCAGGUUCCCUCCCCCAUUCUUUGGGUGCGUCUUGGCUUGUCCUGCCUGUCUUCUUCUAGGAAGCCACUCAGUCCUGCCUCAAAGAAGGGAGGAAGGAUGUCACCUUGUCCUGGGCAAGUUAUUGGGCAAGACCAGGCAGCUCCAGUGCUAAUUUAAUGCUGGGAAGAGAGUCGGGGAACCUGCAGCUCUGGCCAGCUUUCCCCCAAGGAAUCCCAGCCCUACCAGCCUCCUCCCUGUCUCUGGCACAUACCAGUUCACAGCCAGAUCAGUAGAGCAGAGGUGUACAAUGGGGAGGCUCUGGCCUGAGAAGAGGAAGCCCCUGAGAGCAUUCAAAGGGUCAAGAGAGGACUAAGGCAAGACCUCUUGGAUUAGGAAAAAGGUCAUAGCAACCCAAAGGAGGCGGAGCAACUGGAGUUCAAGACAUUCACCUUAAAAGGUACACUCAGUUGCCCCUGCGUUUGGACUUUGCUGACCUGGAAAAAAGAGAACUGCAUAGUAAUCCAUUUGUGUUCCAUCUCGUCAAAAGUAUAGCACCUGUGGGGGCUGAGCUGGUGUUUCGUGGGAUCAUGAUGAUUCUCUGACUUGAAGUGCAAGGACUGGGAAAAAAUUCCAUGUCUGUCCCACAAGUGAGCAGUGGAGGGCAUUCGGAUGCAAUGAUCUUUCAGCCCUAACAUUCUGGAAGUCUGAUUCAAAGAGUCACACCCAGCAAAGGAAAACACAGAGACUAGACGGAAUCAGUGAAGAGGUGGCUGGUCAAAAGCAGCACAUGUAUCGUGUUUUCAAAGCUCAGCAGUGACUCAGGAAGGCAAGACAGGAAGUCCCUUGGGAAUGGUCUGUAAACCAGGGCGAGGGACUAAGAAAAACAGGUAGAUAAGUCCCCAGGAGCCUUAAACAGCCCCCAAAGCAUGAGCUACACAUAUGUCACUAGACUCUGUCAGAACCUUUCAGAGCUGGCCAGGCAUGGUGGCUCACGCCUGUGAUCCCAGCACUUUGGGAAGCUGAGGUGGGAGGAUAGGUUGAACCCAGGAAUUCGAGACCAGCCUGGGCAACAUAGCGAGACCUUGUCUCUACCAAAAAUAAAAUAAAUAAAUAAUUUAAAAAGAGGCCAGGAGUGGUGGCUCACACCUGUAAUCUCAGCACUUUGGGAGGCCCAGGCGGGCGGAUCACCUGAGGUCAGGAGUUACAGACCAGCCUGGCCAACGUGGCGAAACCUCAUUUCUACUAAAAAUACAAAAAUUAGUCAGGCAUGGUGGCAGGCGUCUGUAAUCCCAGCUACUCAGGAGGCUGAGGUGGGAGAAUUGCUUGAACCUGGGAAGCAGAGGUUGCAGUGAGCCGAGAUGGCGCCGCUGCACAGAGCAAGACCCCGUCUCAAAAAAAAAAAAAAAAGUAAUAAAGUAAAAAAUAAAAAGAACCUUCCAGAGUUUCUAGAGGCACUAAGACACUAAAAUGCCAGAGAAAGCCAUUUUACCCCUGAAGAAGCUCAGCACUGGGAAAUGACUGGGCAGAAACGUGGCCCACCUGGCCUGCUCCUAGUCCCCAGGACCGGCCAAACUGAAGUAGGUUUCUUCAGUUUUCUUCAGGUUUCUUCAGUAGGUACCUGCUCAGCCCACAAGCCCAGGGAGUCUCCUGGGUCCUUGGUUCUUCUAUGCAGCCCAGCCUCCUUGUCCAGUUAACUGGGGCAGAAGCAGGUACCUGACUCACAGGCAACCACUCUAGAGGCCAGGCUGGGCCAGUCAGAUUCCUGAACUUUGGAAUUAGGACAAGGAGAGGCCAGACUGUUUGCCACAGGUCCUGGUUGGGUAAGGAAAUGUAGAUUUGCCAAGGAGGGCUGCUUGGGACACGUGUCUGAAAGACAGAAAGGAAAUUGGUGUUUUGAGAGAAGUGGACGGAAAGGUGGGCAUUCCCCCAACACCAGUCCUGAGUGUAAGGUCCUUGUGCGACUUGCCUGCCCUUGAGAUCUGUGAGAUAGUUCUAACGCCUUAUAUUGAAUUACAUUUUUUGCUUAAACUAGCUGGAGUGGGCUUCUAUUUCAUGUAAACAAAUCAAUCACUGAUAUAGUGAAGCCCGUCCUUCAAAGUUUCCCAAAUUAGACUUGGCAAGUCGGCAUAAUGGUAAUGAUGCUAAUGACACCCCUGACAUUUGAUUGGUGUUUUAUAAUUUAAAAGUCCCUAACAUAGGGGUCAUCACUCCAGCCUGGGAUGACUUGCCCCAGACCUACUCAUGCUCCAGACUCUUGGGGAACGGCAUCACUCCUAAAACUCUCAAUGUCUUCAACAAUAAAGUGGGGUUAAUAAAGCCUGUUUUAAGUGGUUGUUGCAAGGUUUGAAUGUGGUAUGCAAAGUGUUUAGCACUUUGGCACACAGUAAAAGUGCUCAGUAUGUGGUAGCCAUAAUAGUGAUUUAUUAUAUAAAGUACCUAGAUGAGGCUAGACACAUAAUCACUAAUCAAAAAUUAUGUAAUAUAAAGUGCUUACUGAUCAGUGCAGAGGGUUUGACUUGACCAGACUUAACAGGAUCACUUGUAAAACAAAGGAGUUUUAGUUGAUCACAAGCUUUAUGUGAGUCAACAGAAACCAUCACAAAGCUAAUGUGAUCUCAGGCCAUAUUAAGAAAAGUUUUAUCUCUAGAAGAUGGGAGAUGUUAGUCAUGUCCACCUCAGUCCCUAUCAGACAACACCUAGUGGUGGGGAGGGGGCGGGCUCUAGGAAGAGGACCUGUGACCUCACAACUUUCUAAGAAAAAUAAAAUUUCUUUCUUGGCAAGUAUGCUUGCACAUAUAGAACUCAAAAAACAUUCCUCUAUUUUUUUUUCCUUUUUCACUUAUGCCUUUGUCUUGGAGUAGUUAGAGAAAGCCACUGCAAUCAAGACAGUGUGGUAUUGGUAUACAGAUGAAUAAAUUUAAAAUGUCUGCCCUUUGGAAGACACAAGAGAAUGCAAAUACAAUCCACAGACUGAGAGAAAAUAUUUGCAAAUGAUUUAUGGUGUGGUUUGGUUUUGUGUCCCUACUCAAAUCUCAUCUCAAAUUCUAAUUCCCACAUGUCAGAGGAAGGGCCUGAUGGGAGGUGAUUGGAUCAUGGGGGUGAAUUUUCCCCUUGGUGUUCUUGUGAUAGUCAGUUCUCAUAAGAUCUGAUGGUUUUAAAGUGUGGUUCUUCCUUCCCUUGCUCUCUCUCUGUCUCUCUCCUGUCACCAUGUAAGAUGUGCCUUGCUUCUCCUUCACCUUCUGCCAUUAUUGUAAGUUUCAUGAGG